rnacentral:rRNA from 1 species
GACGAACGCUGGCGGCGUGCCUAAUACAUGCAAGUAGAACGCUGAAGGAGGAGCUUGCUUCUCUGGAUGAGUUGCGAACGGGUGAGUAACGUGUAGGUAACCUGCCUGGUAGCGGGGGAUAACUAUUGGAAACGAUAGCUAAUACCGCAUAAUAGUAGAUGUUGCAUGACAUUUGCUUAAAAGGUGCAAUUGCAUCACUACCAGAUGGACCUGCGUUGUAUUAGCUAGUUGGUGAGGUAACGGCUCACCAAGGCGACGAUACAUAGCCGACCUGAGAGGGGGAUCGGCCACACUGGGACUGAGACACGGCCCAGACUCCUACGGGAGGCAGCAGUAGGGAAUCUUCGGCAAUGGACGGAAGUCUGACCGAGCAACGCCGCGUGAGUGAAGAAGGUUUUCGGAUCGUAAAGCUCUGUUGUAAGAGAAGAACGAGUGUGAGAGUGGAAAGUUCACACUGUGACGGUAUCUUACCAGAAAGAGACGGCUAACUACGUG